rnacentral:rRNA from 1 species
AUUGAACGCUGGCGGAAGGCUUAACACAUGCAAGUCGAGCGAGCGGCGGACGGGUGCGUAAUGUCUGGGACACUGCCUGAUGGAGGGGGAUAACUACUGGAAACGGUAGCUAAUACCGCAUACGAUCAGAUGUGCCCAGAUGGGAUUAGCUAGUAGGUGGGGUAAUGGCUCACCUAGGCGACGAUCCCUAACUGGUUUGAUAGGAUGACCAGCAACACUGGAACUGAGACACGUUCCAGAAUCCUACGGGAGGCAGCAGUGGGGAAUAUUGCACAAUGGGCGAAAGCCUGAUGCAGCCAUGCCGCGUGUAUGAAGAAGGCCUUAGGGUUGUAAAGUACUUUCAGCGGGGAGGCGUUACCCGCAGAAGAAGCACCGGCUAACUCCGUGCCAGCAGCCGCGGUAAUUC